rnacentral:rRNA from 1 species
UAAUACAGAGGGUGCAAGCGUUAUUCGGAAUCACUGGGCGUAAAGAGUUCGUAGGCGGUUUGUUAAGUCGAAUGUGAAAGCCCUGGGCUCAAUCCAGGAAGUGCAUUCGAUACUGGCAAGCUGGAGUGCAGGAGAGGAAGGCGGAAUUCCAGGUGUAGAGGUGAAAUUCGUAGAUAUCUGGAGGAACAACAGAGGCGAAGGCGGCCUUCUGGACUGUCACUGACGCUGAGGAACGAAAGCGUGGGGAGCAAACAGGAUUAGAUACCCUGGUAGUCCACGCUGUAAACGAUGGGUACUAGAUGUCUGGGGCUCUUACCCCCUAGGUGUCGCAGCUAACGCAUUAAGUACCCCGCCUGGGAAGUACGGUCGCAAGAUUA